AGCACCCUUUUGGGUGUGACUGCGUACCUUUUGUAUAAUGGGUCAGCGACUUAUAUUCUGUAGCAAGGUUAACCGAAUAGGGGAGCCGGAGGGAAACCGAGUCUUAAUUGGGCGUUAAGUUGCAGGGUAUAGACCCGAAACCCGGUGAUCUAGCCAUGGGCAGGUUGAAGGUUGGGUAACACUAACUGGAGGACCGAACCGACUAAUGUUGAAAAAUUAGCGGAUGACCUGUGGCUGGGGGUGAAAGGCCAAUCAAACCGGGAGAUAGCUGGUUCUCCCCGAAAGCUAUUUAGGUAGCGCCUCGUGAAUUCAUCUCCGGGGGUAGAGCACUGUUUCGGCUAGGGGGCCAUCCCGGCUUACCAACCCGAUGCAAACUGCGAAUACCGGAGAAUGUUAUCACGGGAGACACACGGCGGGUGCUAACGUCCGUCGUGAAGAGGGAAACAACCCAGACCGCCAGCUAAGGUCCCAAAGUCAUGGUUAAGUGGGAAACGAUGUGGGAAGGCCCAGACAGCCAGGAUGUUGGCUUAGAAGCAGCCAUCAUUUAAAGAAAGCGUAAUAGCUCACUGGUCGAGUCGGCCUGCGCGGAAGAUGUAACGGGGCUAAACCAUGCACCGAAGCUGCGGCAGCGACGUUUAUGCGUUGUUGGGUAGGGGAGCGUUCUGUAAGCCUGCGAAGGUGGCCUGUGAGGGUUGCUGGAGGUAUCAGAAGUGCGAAUGCUGACAUAAGUAACGAUAAAGCGGGUGAAAAGCCCGCUCGCCGGAAGACCAAGGGUUCCUGUCCAACGUUAAUCGGGGCAGGGUGAGUCGACCCCUAAGGCGAGGCCGAAAGGCGUAGUCGAUGGGAAACGGGUUAAUAUUCCCGUACUUGGUGUUACUGCGAAGGGGGGACGGAGAAGGCUAUGUUGGCCGGGCGACGGUU
rnacentral:rRNA from 1 species